GACGAACGCUGGCGGCGUGCUUAACACAUGCAAGUCGAGCGGUAAGGCCCUUCGGGGUACACGAGCGGCGAACGGGUGAGUAACACGUGGGCAACCUGCCCUACACUCUGGGAUAAGCCCGGGAAACUGGGUCUAAUACCGGAUAUGACUUCGCAUCGCAUGGUGUGAGGUGGAAAGUUCCGGCGGUGUAGGAUGGGCCCGCGGCCUAUCAGCUUGUUGGUGGGGUAGUGGCCUACCAAGGCGACGACGGGUAGCCGGCCUGAGAGGGCGACCGGCC
rnacentral:rRNA from 1 species